rnacentral:rRNA from 1 species
AGGGUUUGAUUCUGGCUCAGGACGAACGCUGGCGGUGCGCCUUAUGCAUGCAAGUCGAGCGAAGCUUUUCAGUAGUUUACUACAGAAAAUGACUGAGCGGCGAACGGGUGAGUAACGCGUGAGCAAUCUACCUUAGUUACAGGGAUAGCCCGAGGAAACUCGGAUUAAUACCUGAUAUUCUUUAUUUCUCGCAUGAGAAUAAAAGGAAAGGUCAGCCGAACUAAGAUGAGCUCGCGUUCUAUCAGCUAGUUGGUGAGGUAAAAGCUUACCAAGGCUACGACGGAUAGCUGGUCUGAGAGGACGAUCAGCCACACUGGGACUGAGACACGGCCCAGACUCCUACGGGAGGCUGCAGCAGGGAAUAUUGUGCAAUGAACGAAAGUUUGACACAGCGACACCGCGUGUGGGAUGACGGAUCUAGGUUUGUAAACCACUUUCAGGAGGGAAGAAAAUGACGGUACCUCCACAAGAAGCCCCGGCCAACUACGUGCCAGCCGCCGCGGUAAUUC